rnacentral:rRNA from 1 species
UACGUAGGGGGCAAGCGUUGUCCGGAUUUAUUGGGCGUAAAGAGCGUGUAGGCGGCCAUGUAGGUCCGUUGUGAAAACUCGAGGCUCAACCUCGAGACGCCGAUGGAAACCAUGUGGCUAGAGUCCGGAAGAGGAGAGUGGAAUUCCUGGUGUAGCGGUGAAAUGCGUAGAUAUCUGGAGGAAUACCGGUGGCGAAGGCGGCAUCCUGGACCGACAUUGACGCUGAACGGCGAAAGCUAGGGGAGCAAACGGG